rnacentral:pre_miRNA from 1 species
CCCUUAACUAUUAAAAGUUUAGUUUUGGUCCCUUAACUUAUUUUUUGGUUUCGUUUUGGUCCCUUAACUUAUUUUUUGAUUUCGUUUUGGUCCUUAACUCUAAUACAUUCAUCCUAACAUAAAGGACCAAAGUGGUUGACAGAGGAAGAGUUAAGGGACCAAAACGAAACCAAAAAAUAAGUUAAGGGACCAAAACAAAACUUUUAAUAGUUAGGGGACCAAAACGAAACCAAAAAGUAAGUUAAGGGACCAAAACGAAACUUUUAAUAAUUAAAGGA